GCCGAUGUGUAGGAGUGGUUAACUUUCGUGAUUCGGAUUCACGAGAUCCCGGGUUCAAAUCCCGGUGUCGGCC
rfam:Choanephora cucurbitarum strain KTS-F28377 scaffold_927, whole genome shotgun sequence.